GAUGAACGCUGGCGGCGUGCCUAAUACAUGCAAGUCGAGCGAACAGACGAGGAGCUUGCUCCUCUGACGUUAGCGGCGGACGGGUGAGUAACACGUGGAUAACCUACCUAUAAGACUGGGAUAACUUCGGGAAACCGGAGCUAAUACCGGAUAACAUGUUGAACCGCAUGGUUCAACAGUGAAAGACGGUCUUGCUGUCACUUAUAGAUGGAUCCGCGCCGCAUUAGCUAGUUGGUAAGGUAACGGCUUACCAAGGCAACGAUGCGUAGCCGACCUGAGAGGGUGAUCGGCCACACUGGAACUGAGACACGGUCCAGACUCCUACGGGAGGCAGCAGUAGGGAAUCUUCCGCAAUGGGCGAAAGCCUGACGGAGCAACGCCGCGUGAGUGAAGAAGGUCUUCGGAUCGUAAAACUCUGUUAUUAGGGAAGAACAAAUGUGUAAGUAACUAUGCACGUCUUGACGGUACCUAAUCAGAAAGCCACGGCGAACUACGG
rnacentral:rRNA from 1 species